GGGUUAGGGUUAGGGUUAGGGUUGGAGCAAGGGUUAGGGUUAGGGUUGGAGUUAGGGUUAGUGUUGGAGCUAGGGUUAGGGUUGGGCUUGGAGCUAGGAUUUUUCUGAGUGCAAUGAACCAACUCCCGAGUCUCUAGGACGUUCCUAAAAAAAUUUGAUUUUUUCCCAUAGGAAUGCAUGGGUUAGGGUUAGGGUUAGGGUUGGAGCUAGGGUUAGGGUUAGGGUUGGAGUUAGGGUUAAUGUUGGAGCUAGGGUUAGGGUUGGGCUUGGAGCUAGGAUUUUUCAGAGUGCAAUGAACCAACUCCCGAGUCUCUAGGCUGUUCCUAAAAAAAUUUGAUUUUUUUCCGUAGGAAUGCAUGGGUUAGGGUUAGUGUUAGGGUUAGGGUUAGGGUUAGGGUUGGAGUUAGGGUUAGUGUUGGAGCUAGGGUUAGGGUUGGAGCUAGGGUUAGGGUUGGGCUUGGAGCUAGGAUUUUUCUGAGUGCAAUGAACCAACUAUCGAGUCUCUAGGAAGUUCCUAAAAAAAUUUGAUUUUUUCCCAUAGGAAUGCAUGGGUUAGGGUUAGGGUUAGGGUUGGAGCUAGGGUUAGGGUUAGGGUUAGGGUUGGAGUUAGGGUUAGUGUUGGAGCUAGGGUUAGGGUUGGGCUUGGAGCUAGGAUUUUUCUGAGUGCAAUGAACCAACUCCCGAGUCUCUAGGACGUUCCUAAAAAAAUUUGAUUUUUUUCCAUAGGAAUGCAUGGGUUAGGGUUAGGGUUAGGGUUGGAGCUAGGGUUAGGGUUAGGGUUGGAGUUAGGGUUAGUGUUGGAGCUAGGGUUAGGGUUGGGCUUGGAGCUAGGAUUUUUCUGAGUGCAAUGAACCAACUCCCGAGUCUCUAGGACGUUCCUAAAAAAAUUUGAUUUUUUCCCAUAGGAAUGCAUGGGUUAGGGUUAGGGUUAGGGUUGGAGCUAGGGUUAGGGUUAGGGUUAGGGUUGGAGUUUGGGUUAGUGUUGGAGCUAGGGUUAGGUUUGGGCUUGGAGCUAGGAUUUUUCUGAGUGCAAUGAACCAACUCCCGAGUCUCUAGGACGUUCCUAAAAAAAUUUGAUUUUUUCCCAUAGGAAUGCAUGGGUUAGGGUUAGGGUUAGGGUUGGAGCUAGGGUUAGGGUUAGGGUUAGGGUUGGAGUUAGGGUUAGUGUUGGAGCUAGGGUUAGGGUUGGGCUUGGAGCUAGGAUUUUUCUGAGUGCAAUGAACCAACUCCCGAGUCUCUAGGACGUUCCUAAAAAAAUUUGAUUUUUUCCCAUAGGAAUGCAUGGGUUAGGGUUAGGGUUAGGGUUGGAGCUAGGGUUAGGGUUAGGGUUAGGGUUGGAGUUAGGGUUAGUGUUGGAGCUAGGGUUAGGGUUGGGCUUGGAGCUAGGAUUUUUCAGAGUGCAAUGAACCAACUCCCGAGUCUCUAGGACGUUCCUAAAAAAAUUUGAUUUUUGUCCAUAGGAAUGCAUGGGUUAGGGUUAGGGUUUGGGUUGGAGCAAGGGUUAGGGUUAGGGUUGGAGUUAGGGUUAGUGUUGGAGCUAGGGUUAGGGUUGGGCUUGGAGCUAGGAUUUUUCUGAGUGCAAUGAACCAACUCCCGAGUCUCUAGGACGUUCCUAAAAAAAUUUGAUUUUUUUCCAUAGGAAUGCAUGGGUUAGGGUUAGGGUUAGGGUUGGAGCUAGGGUUAGGGUUAGGGUUAGGGUUAGGGUUGGAGUUAGGGUUAAUGUUGGAGCUAGGGUUAGGGUUGGGCUUGGAGCUAGGAUUUUUCAGAGUGCAAUGAACCAACUCCCGAGUCUCUAGGCUGUUCCUAAAAAAAUUUGAUUUUUUUCCGUAGGAAUGCAUGGGUUAGGGUUAGGGUUAGGGUUAGGGUUAGGGUUAGGGUUGGAGUUAGGGUUAGUGUUGGAGCUAGGGUUAGGGUUGGGCUUGGAGCUAGGAUUUUUCUGAGUGCAAUGAACCAACUCCCGAGUCUCUAGGACGUUUCUAAAAAAAUUUGAUUUUUUUCCAUAGGAAUGCAUGGGUUAGGGUUAGGGUUAGGGUUGGAGCUAGGGUUAGGGUUAGGGUUAGGGUUGGAGUUAGGGUUAGUGUUGGAGUUAGGGUUAGGGUUGGGCUUGGAGCUAGGAUUUUUCUGAGUGCAAUGAACUAACUCCCGAGUCUCUGGGACGUUCCUAAAAAAAUUUGAUUUUUUCCCAUAGGAAUGCAUGGGUUAGGGUUAGGGUUAGGGUUGGAGCUAGGGUUAGGGUUAGGGUUAGGGUUGGAGUUAGGGUUAGUGUUGGAGCUAGGGUUAGGGUUGGGCUUGGAGCUAGGAUUUUUCUGAGUGCAAUGAACCAACUCCCGAGUCUCUAGGACGUUCCUAAAAAAAUUUGAUUUUUUUCCAUAGGAAUGCAUGGGUUAGGGUUAGGGUUAGGGUUGGAGCUAGGGUUAGGGUUAGGGUUAGGGUUGGAGUUUGGGUUAGUGUUGGAGCUAGGGUUAGGGUUGGGCUUGGAGCUAGGAUUUUUCUGAGUGCAAUGAACCAACUCCCGAGUCUCUAGGACGUUCCUAAAAAAGUUUGAUUUUUUUCCAUAGGAAUGCAUGGGUUAGGGUUAGGGUUAGGGAUGGAGCUAGGGUUAGGGUUAGGGUUAGGGUUGGAGUUAGGGUUAGUGUUGGAGCUAGGGUUAGGGUUGGGCUUGGAGCUAGGAUUUUUCUGAGUGCAAUGAACCAACUCCCGAGUCUCUAGGACGUUCCUAAAAAAAAUUGAUUUUUUCCCAUAGGAAUGCAUGGGUUAGGGUUAGGGUUAGGGUUGGAGCUAGGGUUAGGGUUAGGGUUGGAGUUAGGGUUAGUGUUGGAGCUAGGGUUAGGGUUGGGCUUGGAGCUAGGAUUUUUCUGAGUGCAAUGAACCAACUCCCGAGUCUCUAGGACGUUCCUAAAAAAAUUUGAUUUUUUCCCAUAGGAAUGCAUGGGUUAGGGUUAGGGUUAGGGUUGGAGCUAGGGUUAGGGUUAGGGUUAGGGUUAGGGUUGGGGCUAGGGUUAGGGUUAGGGUUAAUGAUCAUGUGAAAUUUCAGUACCGGCACACUAAAUCUAGCAGCGGCGGUGCGCCACUGCUGAAUGAAUGUAGGGGAAACACUGCUGAUACCUAUGAGUCCGAGGUAGAGCUACGUGAGAUAAAAACGUAUUUUUUUUUUUUUUUAGGUGUGGUGGCUUUUAUUUAGCUGUGGUGGUGCGCCACGAUCAAUUGCAUGUAGGGGAAACCCUGGGCGUCCAUUCUAUACAGUCUAUGGCUAAUACUGAAAUAUAAUAUGCAGACACUGUGAUCCGGAGUCACACAGAGUGACACCUGUCUCAUAUUAAUGAGUCCACUGCAGGUCUAGAGUGUUUUGUUCGAAUCUUGCUUUGUAUUUUAUACAACACCACUCUAUUUGUGUUUACCCAUCAUAACACACUAUAUUGAGGGUGUGGGUGGCCUGCUGGGGUGUAAAUCAAUGCCUGUGCUUCCUCGGGCUCUCUGAACAGGUGACAGUUCUAGACCUUGUCCUACAACUCACAACACACCCCCUUUAAAUACAUUGAGAGGACGACAGUAGGUGUAACCUCGUACCUUUGCUGGCAGAUAAUCAAAACUUGUUGCAUAUAAUUAAAGCACUGAAAAAAGGAGGGUUUUCAAGGUUAAGAUAUUCAAUCAUCCUCUCGCUUGCAGUAAUGAUAUGAAAGCCAUAACGGACCAAAAAAGGUCAUUUAAUUAUCCUUGUUAGCAAAAACAAACCAGAGGGUGUGAAGAAUUGCUUCCAUUGUGUGUCAAACCAACUAUAUCAAAAGUUAUGGCGAAGAUUUUCUGUACAUGCAGGAAGACGGAUGUACUGAAUCACCAUGAAACCCACGAGACAAUAGGCUCUGAAUCCUCAUUUCGCCCCAAUCACUCUGUGCUGCAAGUGACAGUUCUGCUUUGUAACAGAAAUGUAUGUUCUUGUUUAUCCUCCAUCUGUGGCAGCAUCUGUUUCAUAUUGUGCUCCCUCUCUGUUUGCCAGCGACUGGCAACAACACAUUUCAAAUGUUAUUUUUAUCUGAACACACAGAGAGGAUGAGGGAGGCAGACGUUUCUUUAUGCGAGGAUUGCACUGCUGUCUGGAACGGUUUAAGGUGACAAAUAUUGAAUCUAUCUAAUAAGAGGGGAGGAAGAAUGACCGUUGAAGUUUGAACCCAAGAAAUUAAUGAUACCCCUCUUGCUCUUAUUAAUGUAUUCUUCUACAAAGAAAAGAUCAGUAGGACUGUCAUCAGUCAGCGUCGUGCAGAAAUCACUUGUGCUAAAAGCCAGGGUCACUGUGAACCUUAUGUCUCCCACGUUCCAUCUUCCACAAGGUCAGGAUCCUGUCAAGUUUAAUGACCCCGGCCAAGAGUCAAGAUUACGGUCACAGGACACCGUGUGUUUUAGACAGACCUCCAUCUGUAAACUGGACACGAGGGUCACGGACGUCACACUUUUGAUUUGAUUUCAUAGCAACACUGUGCUUGACUAUGUACAGCUUAUAUACAACCAUAUGCCUUUGAUUGCAGUGUGGUGAGCUGCGCAGUCAUAAAUUUCAACCCUAGAUAUAAAACUGUCAGAUCAGGACCACCCAACUACAGUGUAGAGGUGUUAUUUUUCUCUUGGAUUUUAAUUACACUCUCAGUUCACAUCUUAACAAAGCAAAAAAAGGUUUAUAUAAUGGUCCAUACAUUUCUGUCUGUUAAAACCGGCCCACAUUAUAUCACCGACUGUACCAAGAAAACUGUGUACUCAGACAUAAGAAUAGUAAAAGUAUCCUCUCCUCUGACAUGCUGGCAGCCCUUUACAUGCAUUUUACCUUUAAGCACGGUCCAGACUGAAGAGUAAUGGAGCCUAGGAAAUCAAAAGGAGUGCCAGCCAUGCUAAAAGAAUAAGAAGUGGGAUUCACCACACACCAUUUCACACAUACAGGCCUCAGAGCCGCCAGAGAAAGAAUGUCAGAGGUAUGUGCUGUUCAAGAAAAAACCUAUGCAUUUAUACGGGUUUCACCCUCACUCAAUACAGCGGGGGGAUGGAGUACUGUGCCAGCCAUGAAAUGAAGUAUUUCUGAGACAUGUCGGCUUAAGGGAGCCAAUGCAGCUGCUCGUACCUGUAAGGGUACACCUUCUUGUUGGGUUCAAGUGCAGUUUGGAAACACAAUACAUGACUACAGGACUGAAUAAGCUACUGUGAAGUGGUGACCACAUACAGGGUUCUGAACACGAUAUGAUAUGAUAUGAUAUGAUAUGAUACAAUACGAUACAACGCGAUAUGAUACGAUACAAUAUGCACCACAUUGCUAUAAUGGUCGAGAUUUUAUUGUAAAUAUUGUAAUAUUGUACAUAUUGUAGAACACUCACAUAAUGAUAGCUCACAGUUUUUUCUUACUUAAGCACAAAAAUAACACAAAAGAGUUAAGAGGAAAACUAGCCUAACUCUUCCCAAUGGUGACCAACUAAUGGUAUUUACCAACUCGCAACUCCAAAGGUAACCAAUGAGCAGGUUAUACAUUAAUUUAGAGGCAGAGGAAGAGAGUUUUGAGGUCAUUAGAAAUAUUUCUUUCCUGGUUUUCUCAAAUGUUCCUUCUAGAUAAAGAACCACUGUAUUUGACAGGGAAAAACUAUGCUGUUGGUUUGUUUCAAGACUUUGCAGAAAGUGAAGUUAAGAAAGCCACUAGUGAGGGCAUCAAUACAACAACAAGAUAAAGUUAACAUAUCCAAAAGCACACUCUGAACUUGUUAGUUUGUCUUAAAAAAAAAAACAAUACUCUGACAUGAAACUUUACAAUUUGCUCUGUAAAGUAAACUAUGUUUUUGUCCAGUAUUUCCCCUCCUUUCACUCUCGGCAGAGAGCCCAUACCCAUUUGGUUAAAAUUAAUGUGACAUGUGGAAAAUUAGAGUCUGGAGAAAGUACAAGGGUUUCUUAAAUCUGGACUGUGGGUCAAACAAAGGCCACCUUAUUGCAAACUCAACAGUGAAUACAUGGAUUUGAAUUUAUAACACCAAUUAACCGGAGAGUUUCCUGUAAAACAAAGGAAGUGACAGCAGUGAGCAAGGCUGAGCCAUAUCAGUGAGGCGGAGCCGCUCAGACUUCCUCUCAUGUGUUUUCAUCUAGUCGUGAUGUGUGUUAUAUUGUAGCACUCAAUGUCAUUACACUGCAGACAUAGUAAAGAGAUGUGAAGAGGUCAGUUUUACUAUGCAAAGCUAUAAACCUAUUUUAUGGUGACUUUCAUGAGGCUCUCGCUAGCCUGUCACUCUUUAUCUGCUAGCAGCCGACGAACCGCAGCUCCACCACGACCUCUGAUCUCACUCCUUUUUUGCUUUUUGCAGCCUCUGAAUGUUACGUCCAGUGGGGGGUCUGGGAAGUCCGGCAUGAUUAAAACACAGUAACAACUCUCUAAACUAAUCUUGCUUAAAAUGGCCCAAUUUUUCAGUCUGGAAAAACCUGCUGAACUUGAGUCCUUUUUAGUCAGAGUGGGCUGAUUUUAUGUGACAGUAUUCUAAAAAAAUCCUCAUUUAUGUGGUCGUAUCCCCCUAAAUUUAUAGAUCCUGCUUCAAAUGGUGUUAUUGCUUACGAAGGUGACUAAUGAGCCUGAGGUGAGAAGUGAAACUUAUCAUUAGAGUGAAGAGUAUUAAAAGGGGCAAGCUGAGAGGGUCAAGCUCUGUGUGAAAGGAAACAAGGACGGUGAUUGAAACCGCAGAGUAAAACUUGAGCUAUGGGCUCGUGAUUAAACUGAAAGGACGGAUAUUAUGGCCCCCUGAUCAUUUAACACCUUGAUUGCCUGUCUGCCAUGUCCCUGUCUGACUGACUGCUCCAUCAAAGCUCUUUGUCUGGUAAGAGUACCCCAUUUGGUCCAGGGUCUUUCCCAGGAGGCCACAGAGGACAGGAGAAAAUUGGUGAAGAAAAAUGUCCAAAAGUGUAAUAUUUCUGGGAGGUCUGUCAGGGUUUGUCCAUAACUCAUAGAGUUAGAGUAACAAGACCUGGUCUGGCUGGACCCUUUAAAGCUCCUCCGGGUAUGUACUUUUUUUGUAAUGACUUUUGACAAUGCUAACAAACAUUUGUUAUGUAACUUUUAGCAAAAAACAAUGAUUUAUCUAGUAGUUGGGUGAUUACUUUUCCUACUUAAAGAGGCAUCUGCUCUUUUUUUACUAUGCUGGUGUUCAGCUGUGAUGCUGAGUACAACGUCUGACACUGGGGUUAAUUCAUCAUUCAAACUGAAGAGUGUCCUACAUUCACAGUGUUGGUUCCUCACAAGAUCACUUAAAUCAUAAAAGAGAAAAGAUGAAAAACAAAAUAGAAUGUGCAGUCACAGUUAGAGCGCUGUGAUCUAUAAAUCAGGGAAGAAACCACCUGUCACCCUAAAAAGAUACAAGAAGAUAAACUUCCAGCAAAGACUCAAAAUAAAGCAUUUAUUUAUUUUUUUUUGGUAACACUUUACUUGACGCCUAUCUCUAUAACGCAUUAUAAAUAUAUGUAUAAUGUGUUAUAAUCAUGUUAGAGCACUGUAUAACUAUAGUUAUAAACACUUAUAAAUGAUCAAAAUGCUUUAUAGCAAUAAUUAUAACACAUUAUUAAGCAUUUUAUCAAGACUUACAAGGUCAGGUAUUAUAAUGUGUUGGGCUUAUUGUUAUAGAGCCUUAUGAUCAUUAAUGAGUGUUUAUUAUGAUAGUUAUAAAAGUUUACAAGCAAAUUAUAAGCAAGUCAUGACAAAAUGGUUUAUAAUGUGUUAUGAUUAUUGCUAUAAAGCAUUAUGAUCAUUUAUGAGUAUUUAUAACUAUAGUUAUACAGUGCUAUAAUGUGAUUAUAAUGCAUUAUACAUAUAUUUACAAUGCGUUAUAGAGAUAGGCGUCAAAUUAAGUGUUACCCUUUUUUCAGUGCCAUACAAUAGGCUUGAUCCCAUCAUGUACAAUAAGAUUUUGCUACUACUCCAUCCCUACUAUGAACAUUUUCGUCCUUUAUCAGGUCAGAAUUAAAAUUGAUCAAAUAUUUUGCCAGACCAAUUCCUCUUCGUGAAUAGGUCUGGGUCUAUUCAUACACUUCCUUAAGCAAUGGCCACACACAAAAAUGUCUCUAGGAGCAACUGACAGAUCCACAACCAGUCAGAGCAACAGUGAUUAAAAGUUGAGCUGUUAAACCCUGACGUUUUUCCCAGGCUUUUUUUUUCCACGGGGGUCAGAGGAGAAACGUUUAUUCACCGGCGCUGAAGACCUGAAGAGCAGGGAGAGCUGAAAUAUUUCUAUCAAAUGGGAAUUAAAAGCCCAUUUUGGAUUGAGUCAGGGAGCAAAUUAUGUCCUUGUGGCUUCUAUUCUUCGAGCUUUCAAUAAAAUGCCUCACAAAUUGGUAAAGGGUUAUGGGGUGCCACAUCAAAAUGACAGGACAAUUAUGGAAAGAGCUAUUUCACUGGUAUAAAAAGGAUUGUGAAUGAGGGAGGUGGACCAUCAGAGCGAUGUAGCCAUUCUAUGUUUUAAACUGCAUUCGGUCCAAAAUAAUAGACAACAUAACAGCUUGUUGCACCAUUCAAAAUGAAUUAGGACAGAAUUUAUUGUACACUUUUGGCUUACAUCUUCAUUCUCUUUAACACUGGCUUUCAUGAAGCUCAGACACCCCAUUCUGAUCCUCACCCAGGAGGCCUGGCCCAUCCAGUGACCCCAGUGUACCCCUUCAGACUAAACAAUGAUGCUGGGUCAACUCCUCGUGGCCCGAGACAGAUGGCUGGCUCCUCUCUGUGGUCGCCACCAUGGCCAAGGUCACCUCCCCUGCUCCCUCUGCACCUGCACCCCAACACUCCCAUCAUCAUCAUCUUUAUUCCUUCUACACCUAUAGCACACGCCACUGCACAAAUCCCCUUCCCCCGGCUACCCCCCGCCCAUGUUAACAGAGAAAAUGAAGCAUUUAGAUUCUGCUGGUGUGCGCUGCAGCAUGCUGAGUACUACAUACCACCUGCAAAUAAUACCUGUAGUUCACCAAGGCAGGUAAAAACACUCAGACAGAUACACCAGAGGAGGUUUUUCACCAAUGAAGAUCUCAUUCUUGGUUGGCAAAGGAUAACGACAAAACAGAAAAGCAAUGAAAUGACUCUGAAAUAAUGUUUAAUCACAACAAAUCCCUCCUCUGUAUUAACCCAGAAUCAAUUGGCACCUGUGUCAUGCUGGAAAAUGCUCCACAGCUAUAGAGGGGGAGUAGUAUUGACGAGAGGCUGUGAUCCAUGAGACAGGCUACCUGUCACCAUCACCAUAGUCCCUCCCUCACAUAUUCAAUACAGCAAACCAUCAGAUCAAUGUCCACAGACACAGUCCUCCCCCCUGCAAAACUAAUUAUCUGAGCAUUUUAUACUGCCAAGUCCCCUCCACGCUUUGUUUAUGCAGGCUGCAAUUAGUGAAAGAGUCAAUAAAAACCUGAGGGAGGUUACCGGUGGAGGAGGAACAAUAGCAGAAGGUGAGAGGUGGAGUCUCAGGAAGGCUGUCACCGCAAAGGAAGCUGUGGAGCCAAGGAGGCAGGACGUGACGCGGGGCUGAACGUGUGACAGAGCAGACUGUAUGUCAGGAAAUUUUUCACGACACAUGUUCAGUCACAGCCUGUUCCUGUGAGUUCCUCACAAGUCAAGUCCGAGUGCAGUGCCAAAGAACUGUAUUGUGGCGGCAAUUUCCCAGAAGUGUGAUGCUGCUGGGUCUUUAUAUCACUUCAGCACGCACAAUUAAGUUGCCGUGAAUAUUUAUGGCAGGUUUAAAGACAUCUUUCUCGGUCCCCCAGGUGUCACAAAGUGGCUGUAAUCAGAAUUCAGAGGAGUGUCCCUCUCCCUGUCGAUAGCCUGGCCUGUCUACAGAGAGCUGUAAAAAGCAGAGCCUCAAUCUGCUUCUAAAGGUCUGCUUAACUAGCAGAAAGCUGCGAAGCCAUGAAACAGCGGCAGUUCAUGUUCUUGUCCUGCUGCUACUACCUCCAUAACUGCUCUCUGAACACACCAAAAGUGUCUUCAUAGUCAAGUGUAGUUUCCUUAAUCAGCUGACCAUGUUUUGAAUCUUUGAAACAACAGGCUUUUAGCAUUGCAUACAUGCAGACCUGCAGGGAGGACCGAAGGCUGGUGGUGACAGCACCCAACAGACCAAUCUCACAUUGUUUACCCCAUGACCUUUGAUCUCUGGUUAAGCCAUGUAAAAAAAGCUUAAAUUAUUUUGAGUGUUUAAGUUAAAAUUAAAUUGGUUAGUUAGCUGUUAUUUCGCAUGUAAACUCAGUUUUCUGUAGUGUGGCUGUCUGUCUGUUAAACUUGGCUUUUAGUCCUUAAACCAUUUUCAACACUGCAGAAUGUUUGCCUGGCCGCCCAAGUACAUUUUCUGCUGACCGUGAAUAAACACCAACCGGUGUUACAUUUUCCUUAUAAGAUCACUAUCAGAUAUCAACAGUAAAGGCAAAUGUUGCUGCUCCUGCCUUUGAUUAUCUGCUGUUUCCAGAUUCUUUUCUCUGACUGUGUGUGUGUGUGUGUGUGUGUGUGUGUGUGUGUGUGUGUGUGUGUGUGUGUGUGUGUGUGUGUGUGUGUGUGUGUGUGUGUGUGUGUGUGUGUGUGUGUGUGUGUCAGUAAAAUUGUGUAACACAGCAGGGGGGAUAGAAAAAAUCUUCCAACCAGACUUUUUCUUUCUCUGGGAUAUAAGGAUUGUUUCUGUUCACUGCAGAUCUAACGCCUACCAUCUGUUGAUUGAGCUAUUCUGAGUCAGUCUGAGGCUCGCCCAUGUGGUAAAAAAAAAUAAAAAAUAAAAACUCUGGAGGAAGAUUAACAAGAGGGAUACAAAUCUGCAGAAGUGAUCCUUACGCUGAUCUGAUAAUUCAGAGACAGUUGGUGAGUCACUGAGUAAACUUGUGAAUGGGGACACUGGACGUCUUAAAUGUGGCAAAGCCAAUAGAUUUCUAUGUUAACAGUAGAGCAGUCAGUGUUUUAUUUCUCUCAGGGGAGCUGCCAAGGCUGAGCCACCAGCUUGUAAAACCUAAAGACCUUCACAUCGCAGGCUUUCCUAUGAAGUCUUAUCUUUAAUUAAAUUAAAACCUUGAUUUCCCUCAGCUGAGAGCUGAUUUCCUCCAGGUAUAAUUAUGCCGGUUUAAUGUGUGCACUGGGGUGUUUGGUCACUGGCAGAUGAUCUAUCCAGAGAGCAUUGAUCCCUGACCAGCAGAGCCAGGAGCAUUCAUUACCUUGGUUUACACCAGAUUAGAGCACACAAAACACCUCAAUGCACAACAACCACUUAAAUGCACACCAAACACUGGAAUAUACACCAACUGUGAGAAAUGUGCAUUAUUGGAGUUCCUUCAUAAGUUUUGCAGCUUUUCACAGUUUUAACCAAAUCCUUUCAUUAAAUAUGGAUCGUGGCCGCUGAUGGGUGGUUCCAGCUCAACUAAAAAAGGUGGACAGGCGGGUAAAGCUCAUUAAAUAAUCAAGUUAACUUUUGGCCCAGAAUCUGUGAUUGUGUGGUGGGCUGUGUUGGCCACCUCGUUGUGCUCUAUCAUUGUUUGUCAUCAUGUGCGGAGUCUCUCAAACUUUCAACAUGGGUCAGCAUAAUAAAAAUACAUUGGUGUGUGACAAACUAAAGGUGAGAGUUCAGAGUUUGUUACAGUCCUAAUUAUCAUCGGUGUUGGCAUGUUAGCAUAAAGCAGUAAGGGUGGCAGCCAGACACACACACAAGAUUAUUCAUACAUUUCUGGGAGUGACACAACUCUGACAGAGUUUGGUUUCACAGUUCAAGGACCAAAGAAGCAGCCAGAGUCUCUGUCAUCAGAUUAAGCAUUAGGUUUCAGAGGACAUGAAAUCAUCAAAAAUGAAAUAAUCAGAGCUUGUUUAGCAUUAACACUGACAAUAUUCAGCUUUCCAUAAUGGUGUUAGGUGCUCUGUAAUUACAGCAUAUGUUUUAAAUAAUCAAAAUGUAAAUGAGAAAUUUAAAAAAUUAGGUACCAAUGAAUUUUGAGCAGGUUGAAUACAGUUAAGUGUCCAUGAAAGCAGCACAGAGGCAUAGUUUUAAUGUUUUUAAUUAAUUGUUGCACUUUUUACAGACUGAUUAAAGGGCCUCAAGACUGAGGUUUUAACACUCAUGUAGCCU